rnacentral:rRNA from 1 species
ACCGCGGUUAUACGAGAGACCCUAGUUGAUAGGCACGGCGUAAAGGGUGGUUAGGGGCACCAACAAAUAAAGCCAAAGGCCUUCCAAGCUGUCACACGCACCCCGAAGGUACGAAGCCCAAACACGAAAGUAGCUUUAUCCCCCCCGACCCCACGAAAGCUAAGGAACAA